UUUCCUUUUCCUUAUACUUCAAAUGUGUAACUGUAUUAACAAAAACCAGUUUCAUAUUUUUUUUCAUUCAAUUUUUUUAUCAAUGAGGAGAAAAUGAUGAAUGCAACUUACAUUAUCAGUUUGCAAGAAAGUUUGGUUGUUCAAUAUUCUUGCUUCAUGAAGACAUUACUGAGGUGAAUCAAAAAUGAUCCUUACAUUAACCGAAGUAUAAUGUAUUGGUUUUUGAAACACCCUGUUGUUGAAGAAAGGAGUAAAGGAGUUAAUAAAAAAUGAUCCUUACAUUAACCGAAGAAUAAUGGAGGCCCUUAUAUAAUAUAGUAUUGGUUUUUGAUUUAAUACCAGAACAGGAGUUACUGCAGAAGCCAGGUACUAUUUUCCUGCUGAGAUAGAGCCAAAUUCUGGUAUGCAACGGAUUAUGGCAAGUUUCGUUUCUGUAUAGCAGACAAUGGCAUGAUUGGAAAGAAGGCUCAGAACAGUACAAUUCAUUGAGAAUUGUCUUGCAAAUGUAGAUCAAAAACAACAGCCAUGAUUGAUCUUCGCAGCACAUCGUCCCUUCAAUUACUCUUCUAACUUUUGAACCAAUGCGUGAAUAAAGAAAAAUAUCAUUACUUUGGAACUGUGAACAGAACAAUUCAUGUGGUUGUCAGUGGAGGGGGAAGUCACUUGUCAGAUUUCACUGCAGCACCUCCUGUUUGGACUUUGGAGUAUUUUCAGGGAUAGAGACUUGGCAAACUAACAGCAUUUAAUCUCUCAUAUCUCUUGUUUGAGUACAAGAAAAGUAGGGAUGGAAAGGUGUACGACUCUUUUACCAUUUAUAUGGACUAUAGAGAUGUCUUGUGUGUAUUUAAUGAGCUUUAAUUUUAAAGAUUUUAAUUAAUUAA